rnacentral:lncRNA from 1 species
AUGAAACAGGUUUGUUUUUUAGACUUCAACCGGAUCAUUCCCUUGCAACAAUGCAACUUGAAGGGAAAAAACAAGACAAGGAAAGACUAACUGUUGCUAUUUGCUGUAAUGAGGAUGGUUCGGAAAAACUUCCUUUAUGGAUUAUUGGGAAAUAUGCUAAACCAAGGUGCUUCAAGAAUGUAAACUUGAACAGUCUGAACUGUGAGUACCGUGCUAACAAACGAGCUUGGAUGACUGGUGUGUUAUUUGAAGAAUAUGUUCGCCAACUUGAUAAAAAAAUGGUUGGAAGAAAAAUUCUCUUGAUUGUGGAUAAUUGCCCUGCUCAUCCAAAAAUUAUUGAAG